CAAGAAUUAGGAAGGCCGGAACACGGUGUUGUAGAGACAGAAAAUACUAGCAGAACACAUGAGGAAACUGUUCAGUAACCACACCCAUAUGUCUGAGAUUUUAUGCCCAACAGGAGAACUACAGAAGGAGAUUACACACCAGGAGACUGGGUCUGGGUCCAAUCACUAAAGAAAUGGAACUGGAAGCAGUCACAGUGGGAGGAGCCAUACCAUGCUCCUGGUGACAGCCUUUGCGGUGAGAAUAGCUGAAAGAGCUACCUGGGUUCAUAUAACACAUUGCGGGAGGAGCCUGGGCAGAGACUACUCAUGUCGAUCCAGAGUUUGGCCAUGAGCUUCCUCAUCCAACACUACAGUAGUAACACCCUCAAACGUGUGUUGUUAAUCUUGGCCUACAGUGGUGUGAUGUUGCUCCUGACCUCUGCGCUGACCUUUUCUCUGGUCCAUAAACAUUUAAUCUCUGCGACGCAGGCCUCCAGCACGCUGGCUGUUGUUGCUAGUCGGGUGAUCAAGACAGUAACUACUGCCAUGGUAACAAGGGCCAGCUGUCACCUCUGUCUGUGUUCCUGGUCUUCACUGGUUCACUGGCUGUAAUCUUCACCUCUCUACGGGAGACUGGAGACUAGAUCUCUGUCUCCACUCUGACCCAUGUGCCUGUCACUGCUGCAGACCUGGCGCCAGAAUAAAGUGAAAUCGGUGAGGGGGCAGUUGAAAUCCGGCACAAUUUGGGGGGAUUCUUGCAUUGGAAUGACAUUGAAUUCCGCUUAUCACGCUACACCCCAAUAAACAAAGUUCAAAUGCUGAGA